rnacentral:rRNA from 1 species
AUGGUAGCUGGCCGACGUGACAGCCAAACCGACGCCAUGGUCGACAACCCGACCAGCGGCUGCCGCCGGCGCGGUCCAGCACAUACUGACAAGGCAACUGCUCCGAGCACACCCACAGCUGCAACUGCAAAGCAAAGCUACGAACAGAAGAACCAAAACACAUACAAACUGCCUUCCGUCAGUCCAACAUACUCCCUUUACACUUCUGGACAGAAAUCACUUCCCUAUUACAUAUUUAUAUAUAUAAUAUGUAGUGGCAACUUGGGGGAAAAAAUCUCGACAAAUACUAUACGACGAGUAUAUAUGUAG